CUUUGCACAAAACUCUCUUGCUUCUGAAAUAAACAAACACAGGCGGCGAGUCCGGAGCUCUCUCGAACUCUCGCUGCUACAGUCAAGGCGAAAAGGGGGCGAAGUAGAGGUUGGUGCUUGCCGCCAGCGAGGCCGCGGUUCCCUGUCGCCUCCGAGCGCCUUUUAGACACCGGGAGGUGGCGGGGAACCGGCAUCUCCGUCUGGUUGGCAUGUAUAGUUCUAGAUCCUUCUAAAGGUUUGGUUCCUGGCGACGGUGGUGAGACGGGGCGGCGCCGUCGCUUGGUAAUAAGUCCCUCCGGUCCUCUCCUCGUGUGAGCGGCGUCAGCUCCGCCGUCAUCCGCGGACUGGUGAGGGCGGGGUGGUCGGACACUGGAGUUCCAGCCGUUCGGCACCCUGGUGUUGGAGUCGAGGGAUGGACGUCUGCCGUUUCGGCGUCCCGUGGUGGCGACAGCG
rnacentral:lncRNA from 1 species